UUUUAAGCAAGAAUCCCUGAAGUAGAGUUUGGCACUUAAACCAGAGCUCCAUAACAGGAGCAAUGCCUUUCUGUGACUCGAGUGCAGUAGUAUUGUUUAGUGUGUGUCUGAAUAGAGAAGACCUCAGACAAAAAGGAGUGAAAAUUCAGGAGGCUAACCCUGCUUGCUGUUGAAUGGAGGUGGAAAUAUGGACCAUCACUACAUUUUAUGAAUAUUGCUGAGAAGGACCAUAAUGGAAAGCAACAGUGAAAAAUCACAGGUUGGCAAAAGUUGUGGCAACACCUUUAAGAGCUGAAAAAUAUCUGUCCAAAAGAUAGAAGUAUGUGAGG